rnacentral:rRNA from 1 species
UAGAGGGGACGAAUAGCUGUGAUUCGUAAGGAUCAUAGUUUGACUGUACCCUCAGAGAAAGCCCCGGCUAACUACGUGCCAGCAGCCGCGGUAAU